rnacentral:lncRNA from 1 species
AUGACUUAGUAUUACAUGGUGCUUUAUGGUCCUAAAUUAUGGAGCCUGUAAGCCCUAAUAAUACCCGGUACACGGUAGCCCUAAUAUAUAUGGUGUCCAUAAGCCCUGGUGUCCAUAAGCCCGGUUGCCCAUAAGCCCUGUGGCCCAUAAGCCCAGUUGCCCAUAAGCCCAGUUGCCCAUAAGCCCUAAUGCCCAUAAGCCCACAAGCCCAUAUUGCAAGAGAAGGUAUAUAAGGGAGUGAUAAUUGGAUACAGAAGAGCUGACGAUAGAGAACGAUAGUGGAGGAUUGCUAAUAGUACUUAGUGUGUAUUCUGUAUAUACUGUAUAUUCUGUUAUUACGUUAUUACUGUGUUUUGUGUUUUAUGAUACUUUAAUACACUGUUGAACUUUACCACAGCGACUUCAUGUUUAUUUUAGUAAGUCAGAGGAAAAG